CUGGCUCAGGAUGAACGCUAGCUACAGGCUUAACACAUGCAAGUCGAGGGGCAGCGAGAGGAAAGCUUGCUUCCUUGUCGGCGACCGGCGCACGGGUGAGUAACGCGUAUCCAACCUUCCCCAUAGUAGAGGAUAGCCCGGCGAAAGUCGGAUUAAUACUCUAUGUUGUGUCAUGAGGACAUCUGAAUAACACUAAAGAUUUAUCGCUAUGGGAUGGGGAUGCGUCUGAUUAGCUUGUUGGCGGGUAACGGCCCACCAAGGCGACGAUCAGUAGGGGUUCUGAGAGGAAGGUCCCCCACAUUGGUACUGAGACACGGACCAAACUCCUACGGGAGGCAGCAGUGAGGAAUAUUGGUCAAUGGGCGUGAGCCUGAACCAGCCAAGUAGCGUGCGGGAAUGACUGCCCUAUGGGUUGUAAACUGCUUUUAUGCGGGAAUAAAGUCAGGUACGUGUACCUGUUUGUAUGUACCGCAUGAAUAAGGACCGGCUAAUUCCGUGCCAGCAGCCGC
rnacentral:rRNA from 1 species